rnacentral:rRNA from 1 species
UUGUCGUCAGCUCGUGUCGUGAGAUGUUGGGUUAAGUCCCGCAACGAGCGCAACCCUAUGUUAGUUGCCAUCAUCGGUUGGGCACUCUAGCGAGACUGCCGGUAAUAAACCGGAGGAAGGUGGGGAUGACGUCAAAUCAUCAUGCCCUUAUGACCUGGGCUACACACGUGCUACAAUGGUUGGUACAACGAGUUGCGAGUCGGUGACGGCGAGCUAAUCUCUUAAAGCCAAUCUCAGUUCGGAUUGUAGGCUGCAACUCGCCUACAUGAAGUCGGAAUCGCUAGUAAUCGCGGAUCAGCACGCCGCGGUGAAUACGUUCCCGGGCCUU